AUAUUAUCUGGCUACAAAUAUAUAUCACGUCCACAAAACCGACUUAGUAUUUGUCCCAAGUGUGGUAAAUCGGUUUGAAAACUUGUGUGGGCGCGUCUGUUAAAUUUUGUUAAGAUUUUAUUACUGUUUUAUGCUUUACAAGUGAACCUACAAAAUUGAAGUUGCCCAUGAAGCUGUACAGAUCGACGCAUACAAAGGGUUCCGUACAGUGCACGUUAAUGCAAGGACUGUUUGAAGGACAAUUGCGGUCGAGAUUACGGGCCAUUGUUGCUUGACCCCACUGCGUUCCAUUCAUAGCCGGCGGCAAAGGAUUGUCUGGGUCGAUGCCUUGACCAGUCAGAAAAUAGACAAUGUUUUGCUGCCUAUCUUUAUCGCCGUCGGUUGCAGUUACCUACAAUAUCACCAGAAAGCGAUUCAUUAAAAUCUGUAUAGUUCCAUCCACUGCUUCUUCCUGCUGUUAAUUAAUUACAACAAAGUGAACAUUUAUAUAGUGGAACUAAACAUAAGCUGUGAAGUAAGUCAGUUACAUCGUUCCGAAAACGGUGUAAAACCGCCGGUUCCCCACCUGCACGGCGGGUGGGGUAUGUGAGAGUUGAACCUCACUAAAAACUCCUGCCGCUCACAGCCGGUGCCCUACCCCGGACCGGGCCGCAGCCGAGUCGGACCUACUAAGACGGCGGGACUGGGUUUACACGCAGAGCAUAUUACAUUCGUCCCGCCGUGUCUAAUUGCUGGAUACAAAGGAAGCCGGUUUGACCGAACCGCAACUCAAAUAUAGAAGAAUCAAAAGGAAACCAGCAAAGAAAAGUUUCAAAACAAAGUUGCUGAAUAAGAUGUUGAAAUGUUCAUAAAUUACCGUAUUGAGCUGAAAUGAUUUGUUCGACGAAACGAAUUGUGUGAAACUAAACAUAAGUAACAAAGAACACUACCCAGAAAAUACGAUAUAAGACUUGGAUCAUCGAUUCUAUUGUAUUGACGGAGCAUCGCUACUGUCCCCUUCUCUGUUCUGGGUUCUGUAUGGAUGGGAAUCGGACGCUUGACAAUCGACCCGACCGUCGUUAGUGAAACGUAAACUACAGAGAAUGCUACACACAAAUGAUUUUUAAAAUGAACAAUUUAGAAGUUAAAUAAAAAAAUGUAAAUAUUUUUUCAAUAAAUUUGUAUACUAGUUUUUUUAUUGCUUGGUUGGGUGGAACGGCUCACCUGAUGUUAAGUGCUUACCGGAGUCCAUAAGCAACGCAACGUGAAUACCGUCACCUCUAUCGAGAUAUCAAUUCUCUCAGUCUCAGUUCUCAGUUUUUCAGUACAACGGCAGAAUUAGGCAGGGUAGUAAGUAUCUACCCGAGCUGCCUCACAAGACGCUCCACUACCAUUCGUUUUUGAAAACACACACACACACACAUACACAUUAAUACAGUCGACAACAAUAACCGACAUUGAUACAUACAUGUAGGCGGCCCUACAUCGUGUUUAAUGGCUUAUAAUUCACAAAGAUGUUACUUUGGUUAGCAUUUAACAGAGCACGCGGCCGUGCUUAAAGUGUUAGAAUAUGUGAGCGUAGUUAAUGUAAUCUUCUUACAAUAGCUUUAAUAUUCUAAAGGCACGUACGGUAUCUAAGGACACCAAGCAAACCGUUUACUUUUUAUGAAGACGUGUAGAUACAGCUCGUGUUUGUUUGUUACGAACAAAUACAUGGUUCGCAUUAACACGUAGUUAUUCUCAUAACAAUAACAUAUCUAUAAACGAUUUUGCUACUACGUUUUCUAUUGACAAAUUAUUCAUGUCGAGAAACACAUCAACCUCAACACAUUAAGACAACCCUGGCAAGGCUCAGCAUCUACCUAAUUAUUAUGUUAUUUCAUAUUUAGGUCAAACUCAAACCUCUCUAGGUUACACAAAUUAAUGUAUUUGGAGUUCGUUUUACGUUUUCUGAAUUGGUGUAUCUACAUAUAAACUAGUCAUUAUGUACUUUAUUUAAAGUGAAUUGAGUUGCGAUUUUGUUGCAGAUUAAACAUUAUUGAAUUGUAUUAAGCACAUAUUGUUUUCAAGUAUUGCAGUUUUGUAAAAUUUUCUUCGUAUAUCCGGUAAAGUUUUGACCAUUAUAAAAUUGACUGAUCGAAUUGACUCAUAUCGGGCUUGACUGAGCAAGUGUUAGAGUAAUACAUACGAUUAUUUUUUUACGACACCCAUGGGAAGAGAUGGAGUGAUGCUAUUUUAGGUCACAAACGUAUUAAAAGCGAGAUAACCGUAAAAUACCUUACACAAAUAUUGUAUUCUGUAAAAAGGUAUUUUUGCGUUUCAUAAAAGCUCCACAGUUUUGAAAUGGAAUCUAAUUUAAUACUUAUUCAGAGCACGUUUUAAUAAUAUAGAACUGAACAAAUAAAAAAAAUGAAAUUUUUCGCAUUACAUUCAUACAACAAACAGGUCGUAAUAAUUAAUUUAAAUUUAAUAUCACGAGCGUUGCGUAAAACGGGUACAAAAAGUUACAUAAAAAUGUAUGUUAUAUGGCAACGAAUAGGCGAGCUUGAUUCUACAAUGGAUUUUGAACAAUCGUUACGUUUUUCGAUGAGUUUGCAUAAUGUUAAAUAAAUUACGUACUCAAAUUAAUAUAGCACAAUAAAUAACACGUACUUUCAAUAA